rnacentral:rRNA from 1 species
GAUGAACGCUGGCGGCGUGCCUAAUACAUGCAAGUCGAGCGAACAGACGAGGAGCUUGCUCCUCUGACGUUAGCGGCGGACGGGUGAGUAACACGUGGAUAACCUACCUAUAAGACUGGGAUAACUUCGGGAAACCGGAGCUAAUACCGGAUAAUAUAUUGAACCGCAUGGUUCAAUAGUGAAAGACGGUUUUGCUGUCACUUAUAGAUGGAUCCGCGCCGCAUUAGCUAGUUGGUAAGGUAACGGCUUACCAAGGCAACGAUGCGUAGCCGACCUGAGAGGGUGAUCGGCCACACUGGAACUGAGACACGGUCCAGACUCCUACGGGAGGCAGCAGUAGGGAAUCUUCCGCAAUGGGCGAAAGCCUGACGGAGCAACGCCGCGUGAGUGAUGAAGGUCUUCGGAUCGUAAAGCUCUGUUAUUAGGAAAGAACAAAUGUGUAAGUAACUAUGCACGUCUUGACGGUACCUAAUCAGAAAGCCACGGCUAACUACGUG